GGUUGCCCUCUAGAGUGGGAACAUGAGUUCACUGCUUUUUCAUCUUGUAUUCCCUGCAUCCAGCACACAGUAGGUGCUCAGUGUGUGCUUGCUGAAUGAGAACAGGAAGUGGAAAGAGGGAGUUCGAAGCAGGGGAAGUGAACAAACAGUGUGGUGGUGACUCAGAGGUAGGGCAGGCGCUCCACUAACUGCUGAAGCCAUGAGUUUAUUUUUCAUUAGGGUUUUCUGCCAGGGCCGGGGCCCUACAAAGCCUGGAGAGAGAGAGAGAGAGUGAGAGUGGCAGCCUUUGAACAGGCAGCGCUGUGCUUUUUCACUUCCAUGUGUACCUUACACACACACAGCUUCUGACAUGGGAUACCAGCACGAGGCUGCUGAGAAAGCAUGAACACUUUUGGUUGCCUCCCCCAGAGCUGUGUCCCUCUUCUUACUUGCUUACAGCACCUCAAUGCUGUUCAUGAUUGCUUCCCCAGAAAUGGUUACUGUGGUGGCUUUAUGGCAUGUCAGCUGGGCUAGCCUGGAGUUUGUUUCCUAGAACCCCCUUUCCUGCAUGUUCCCAGCUGGGCCAUGAGGGUGACCUUUGCCUAAGAUAUGGAAGGCAGAUGCAGUCUCGGAAGAAUGGGUCACCAAGCUCAUCUCAUGGUUGAGGAUUCGUGGCCAGACCUGCAACUGAUUCACCUUUUCUGGAUCCCCCUUUGGUCUCCAACGCCACAGAUCUCAGUGACAAAGAGCACCAGCUUCUCCUACAGGACAUCAAGAUUACUUGUCCGGACAACAUAGUUGGAACUGAGGCAACCAUUAUAAACAUGUUGGGGUGUUAUCCAAUGAAAUAACCUGAAGGCCAAGAUGGGAAGAAUCUGUGUCCUUGAAGGCAUAGCUGAGCAGAUGAAUUCACCUUCCUCAAAGCUGCCUCUACUGUUGGAGUUCCAGUUAUGUGCGGAUGGCCAACUUCCAGGUAGCAAAAAUGGCUGCAGCAACUCCAUUUCUCACAUCCAUAAACCACGCUGUCUCUCAGGAAGAGAAAGAAUGCCUUUGUCCCCAGUUCCUACAUAAGAGUCCUAGACUUCCCCCUGCCCGCACUGGCUUUACUGAUUCACCCAACCAAUCACUUUUGUUGGGUCCUGGGCCCACUGAUUGACUUCGGCUAGAUCACAUGUUCCCUGCUUAAAGCAGAGUGGCUUUAGCUUGGGACCAUGGGGCCCACAAAUGGAAAUCAGGGCUUCCUGGGAAGUGAUACAGACUUACGUGAGUGUAAUUAACAACUGUCCCCUGCACUUCAUCUCAGAUUGUCCAGAGAAGCCCCAAUUUCAUAUUUGUUGUUUUUUAAAUCCAAUACCUUCUAAAAUACAUAACCAAAUAUAUAGUGGUGACUUCUUUGAUACGACACUAAAGGGACAAUCUAUGAAAGAAAUGAUUGAUAAAUUGACCUUCGUGAUCUUCAAAACUGCUCUAUGAAGACUUUGUCAAGAGAAUGAGAAACAAGCCCCAGACUGGGAGAAAAUCUUUACAAAGGAAACAUCCAAAAGGAUUGCUAUCCAAAAUGUACAAAGAACUCUUAAGAUACAACAAUAAGAAAACUAACAACCCAACUAGAAAAUGGACCAAAGACCUUAACAAACACCUCACCAAAGAAGAUAUACAGAUGGCAAUCAAACAUAUGAAAGAUGCUCCACAUCAUGUAUGAACAAGAAAAUGGGAGUUAAAACAACAAGAUACCACUAAACACCUAUUAGAAUGGCCAAAAUCCAGAACACGGACAACACCAAAUGCUGACAAGGAUGUGGAGCAACAGGAACUCUAAUUCACUGCUGGUGGGAAUGAAAAGUGGGGCAUAUAAUUUGGGAGUUUCUUACAAAACUAAACACACUGUUAUCAUACAAUCCAGCAGUUUCGUUCCUUGGCAUUUUCCCAAAGGAGUUGAAAACAUAUGUCUACACAAAAACCUACACCUGAGUAUUUAUAGUAGCUUUAUUAAUAAUUGCCCAAACUUGGAAGCAACCAAGAUGUCCUUCAGUAGGUGAAUAAACUGUGGUACAUCCAGACAAUAGAAUAUUAUUUAACACUAGUAAAAAAUGAGCUAUAAAGCCAUAGAAAGACAAGGAGGAAACUUAAAUGCAUAUUACUAAGUGAAGAAACCAAUCUACAAAGGCUACAUACUGCAUGGUUCCAGGUAUAGGACAUUCUGGAAAAGGCAAAACUGUGGAGAUGAUAAAAAGAUCAGGGGUAGAAGACGAGGGAUGAAUAGGUAGAGCACAGAGGAUUAUUAGGGCAGUGAAAAUACUCUGUAUGAUGCUAUAAUGAUAGAUACAUGUCACUGAGUAUCUGUCCAAACCCACAGAAUGUACACCACCAAGAGUGAACCCUAAGGUAAACUAUGAACUUUGGAUGAUUCAAUGUGGGUUCAUCAGUUAUAACAAAUGUGCCACUCAGGGGGGGAUGUUGAUAAUAGGGGAGGCUAUGCAUGUAUGAGGGCAGAGAGUCUAUGGGAAAACUGUACUUCCCUUUCAAAUUUGCCAUAAACCUAAAACUGUUCUGCAAAAUGUAGUCUUGAAAAUAGUCUUGAAAAUAAAUAAAAUGAU